rnacentral:lncRNA from 1 species
UUGAGGAGUUUCACAUAUUGAUAAAUUAGGAUUUUCAUCUCAAAACUGUCUUUAAAAUAUCUUAUUAACUUUUCCUCUUCUUGCACAUUGACUUCCACUCAGAGUCUUUGUAGAGGACCAACGUUAAGGAGUGGGUGGAGAUGAAUCCAAUUGAGUGGAACUUAUUUAGUUGUCGAAAGGAUUUAAGAAGUGAAGGUGGAUAGUUGUGUGUUAGUGUGUAAUAUGUUUCUCACCAAAUUUUGCUUAUUAUAAGGUGAAAAGUGAUAAAAUAAAGGAGCUAGCUGAAAUAAAUGUCUAGAGAUGCUUUCAGUUGUGGAAGAUCUAGAAUUAAAUGGCUCCAAGUAAGGGGCAUUCAAUAAAUACACAAGCUAAAGGAGGAAA